AGUGGAUGGGGAGCAACCUAGUUGUGCGUGUGUAAAGGUAGUGCCAAGAAAAGCGAUGAUCAUGUUGAAAAUCAAUUCCCGGUACCCGAAACCGACACAGGUGGGCAAGUAGAGAAUACUAAGGGGCGCGAGGUAACUCUCUCCAAGGAACUCGGCAAAAUGACCCCGUAACUUAGGGAGAAGGGGUGCCACCGAGAGGUGGUCGCAGUGAAGAGGCCCAGGCGACUGUUUAGCAAAAACAUAGGUCUCUGCAAACUCGAAAGAGGAGGUAUAGGGGCUAACGCCUGCCCAGUGCCGGAAGGUUAAAGAAGUUGGUCAGUCUUAGGAUGAAGCUAGCGACUGAAGCCCCGGUGAACGGCGGCCGUAACUAUAACGGCCCUAAGGUAGCGAAAUUCCUUGUCGGGUAAGUUCCGACCCGCACGAAAGGCGUAACGAUCUGGGCGCUGUCUCGGAGAGAGGCUCGGCGAAAUAGGAUUGUCUGUGAAGAUACGGACUACCUGCAUUUGGACAGAAAGACCCUAUGAAGCUUUACUAUAGCUUGGAAUUGUGUUCGGGCUUCCUGUGCGCAGGAUAGGUGGGAGGCGUAGAAGGUAUUCUUGUGGGGAUACUGGAGCCAACGGUGAGAUACCACUCUCAGGAGGCUAGAAUUCUAACUUAAUUAAGGACAGUUUCAGGUGGGUAGUUUGACUGGGGCGGUCGCCUCCAAAAAGGUAACGGAGGCGUACAAAGGUUCCCUCAGACUGGUUGGAAAUCAGUCGAAGAGUGCGAAGGCAGAAGGGAGCUUGACUGCGAGAAGUACAGUUCGAGCAGGGUGGAAACACGGUCUUAGUGAUCCGACGGUGCUGUGUGGAAGGGCCGUCGCUCAACGGAUAAAAGUUACUCUAGGAUAACAGGCUGAUCUCCCCCAAGAGUUCACAUCGACGGGGAGGUUUGGCACCUCGAUGUCGGCUCAUCGCAACCUGGGGCGGAAGUACGUCCCAAGGGUUGGGCUGUUCGCCCAUUAAAGCGGUACGUGAGCUGGGUUCAGAACGUCGUGAGACAGUUCGGUCCAUAUCCGAUGUAGGCGUGAGAAUAUUGAGAGGAGCCUUCCUUAGUACGAGAGGACCGGGAAGGACGCACCGCUGGUGUACCUGUUAUGAUGCCAAUUGUAAACGCAGGGUAGCCAAGUGCGGAGAGGAUAACCGCUGAAAGCAUCUAAGUGGGAAGCCCACCUCAAGAUGAGUAUUCUGGUGUAAGGUCACGGGAAGACGACCCGUAAAUAGGCACGAGGUGGAAGUGCAGAGAUGUAUGAAGCCGAAGUGUACUAAUAGACCGUCGGCUUGACC
rnacentral:rRNA from 1 species